rnacentral:rRNA from 1 species
GAACUGCCCUUCUCUACGAUACCUCGGAACUGAGAGUAUACCGUAUACGCCCUUCGGGGGAAAGAUUUAUCGGAGAAGGAUCGGCCCGCGUCUGAUUAGAUAGUUGGUGGGGUAAUGGCCUACCAAGUCUACGAUCAGUAGCUGGUUUUAGAGGAUGAUCAGCAACACUGGGACUGAGACACGGCCCAGACUCCUACGGGAGGCAGCAGUGGGGAAUCUUAGACAAUGGGCGCAAGCCUGAUCUAGCCAUGCCGCGUGAGUGAUGAAGGCCUUAGGGUCGUAAAGCUCUUUCGCCAGAGAUGAUAAUGACGUAUCUGGUAAAGAAACCCCGGCUAACUCCGUGCCACACCGCGGAAUACGGAGGGGGUUAGCGUUGUUCGGAAUUACUGGGCGUAAGCGCACGUAGGCGGAUCAGAAAGUUGGGGGUGAAAUCCCAGGGCUCAACCCUGGAACGGCCUCCAAAACUCCUGGUCUUGAGUUCGAGAGAGGUGAGUGGAAUUCCGAGUGUAGAGGUGAAAUUCGUAGAU